UAGUGAACUAAUCAGCUCAAGGUGAAU
rnacentral:sRNA from 1 species